CGAGCGAACGGGGAGCAGCCCAGAGUCUGAAUCAGCUUGUGUGUUAGUGGAACGGUCUGGAAAGUCCGACGGUACAGGGUGAUAGUCCCGUACACCAAAAUGCACAGGUUGUGAACUCGAAGAGUAGGGCGGGACACGUGGUAUCCUGUCUGAAUAUGGGGGGACCAUCCUCCAAGGCUAAAUACUCCUGACUGACCGAUAGUGAACCAGUACCGUGAGGGAAAGGCGAAAAGAACCCCGGCGAGGGGAGUGAAAAAGAACCUGAAACCGUGUACGUACAAGCAGUGGGAGCACCUUCGGGUGUGACUGCGUACCUUUUGUAUAAUGGGUCAGCGACUUAUAUUCUGUAGCAAGGUUAACCGUAUAGGGGAGCCGCAGGGAAACCGAGUCUUAACUGGGCGUUAAGUUGCAGGGUAUAGACCCGAAACCCGGUGAUCUAGCCAUGGGCAGGUUGAAGGUUGGGUAACACUAACUGGAGGACCGAACCGACUAAUGUUGAAAAAUUAGCGGAUGACUUGUGGCUGGGGGUGAAAGGCCAAUCAAACCGGGAGAUAGCUGGUUCUCCCCGAAAGCUAUUUAGGUAGCGCCUCGUGAACUCAUCUUCGGGGGUAGAGCACUGUUUCGGCUAGGGGGUCAUCCCGACUUACCAACCCGAUGCAAACUACGAAUACCGAAGAAUGUUAUCACGGGAGACACACGGCGGGUGCUAACGUCCGUCGUGAAGAGGGAAACAACCCAGACCGCCAGCUAAGGUCCCAAAGUCAUGGUUAAGUGGGAAACGAUGUGGGAAGGCACAGACAGCCAGGAUGUUGGCUUAGAAGCAGCCAUCAUUUAAAGAAAGCGUAAUAGCUCACUGGUCGAGUCGGCCUGCGCGGAAGAUGUAACGGGGCUAAACCAUGCACCGAAGCUGCGGCAGCGACACUAUGUGUUGUUGGGUAGGGGAGCGUUCUGUAAGCCUGCGAAGGUGUGCUGUGAGGCAUGCUGGAGGUAUCAGAAGUGCGAAUGCUGACAUAAGUAACGAUAAAGCGGGUGAAAAGCCCGCUCGCCGGAAGACCAAGGGUUCCUGUCCAACGUUAAUCGGGGCAGGGUGAGUCGACCCCUAAGGCGAGGCCGAAAGGCGUAGUCGAUGGGAAACAGGUUAAUAUUCCUGUACUUGGUGUUACUGCGAAGGGGGGACGGAGAAGGCUAUGUUAGCCGGGCGACGGUUGUCCCGGUUUAAGCAUGUAGGCUGGUUAUCCAGGCAAAUCCGGAUAAUCAAGGCUGAGGUGUGAUGACGAGGCACUACGGUGCUGAAGUAACAAAUGCCCUGCUUCCAGGAAAAGCCUCUAAGCAUCAGGUAACAUUAAAUCGUACCCCAAACCGACACAGGUGGUCAGGUAGAGAAUACCAAGGCGCUUGAGAGAACUCGGGUGAAGGAACUAGGCAAAAUGGUGCCGUAACUUCGGGAGAAGGCACGCUGGUGUGUAGGUGAAGUCCCUGCGGAUGGAGCUGAGACCAGUCGAAGAUACCAGCUGGCUGCAACUGUUUAUUAAAAACACAGCACUGUGCAAACACGAAAGUGGACGUAUACGGUGUGACGCCUGCCCGGUGCCGGAAGGUUAAUUGAUGGGGUUAUCCGUAAGGAGAAGCUCUUGAUCGAAGCCCCGGUAAACGGCGGCCGUAACUAUAACGGUCCUAAGGUAGCGAAAUUCCUUGUCGGGUAAGUUCCGACCUGCACGAAUGGCGUAAUGAUGGCCAGGCUGUCUCCACCCGAGACUCAGUGAAAUUGAACUCGCUGUGAAGAUGCAGUGUACCCGCGGCAAGACGGAAAGACCCCGUGAACCUUUACUAUAGCUUGACACUGAACAUUGAGCCUUGAUGUGUAGGAUAGGUGGGAGGCUUUGAAGCGUGGACGCCAGUCUGCGUGGAGCCAACCUUGAAAUACCACCCUUUAAUGUUUGAUGUUCUAACGUUGGCCCCUGACCGGGGUUGCGGACAGUGUCUGGUGGGUAGUUUGACUGGGGCGGUCUCCUCCCAAAGCGUAACGGAGGAGCACGAAGGUUAGCUAAUCCUGGUCGGACAUCAGGAGGUUAGUGCAAUGGCAUAAGCUAGCUUGACUGCGAGCGUGACGGCGCGAGCAGGUGCGAAAGCAGGUCAUAGUGAUCCGGUGGUUCUGAAUGGAAGGGCCAUCGCUCAACGGAUAAAAGGUACUCCGGGGAUAACAGGCUGAUACCGCCCAAGAGUUCAUAUCGACGGCGGUGUUUGGCACCUCGAUGUCGGCUCAUCACAUCCUGGGGCUGAAGUAGGUCCCAAGGGUAUGGCUGUUCGCCAUUUAAAGUGGUACGCGAGCUGGGUUUAGAACGUCGUGAGACAGUUCGGUCCCUAUCUGCCGUGGGCGCUGGAGAAUUGAGGGGGGCUGCUCCUAGUACGAGAGGACCGGAGUGGACGCAUCACUGGUGUUCGGGUUGUCAUGCCAAUGGCACUGCCCGGUAGCUAAAUGCGGAAGAGAUAAGUGCUGAAAGCAUCUAAGCACGAAACUUGCCCCGAGAUGAGUUCUCCCUGAGACUAUAAGUCUCCUGAAGGAACGUUAAAGACGAUGACGUUGAUAGGCCGGGUGUGUAAGCGCAGCGAUGCGUUGAGCUAACCGGUACUAAUGAACCGUGAGGCUUAACCUU
rnacentral:rRNA from 1 species